CACGUAAGAAUCUACCUUUUGGCGAGGGACAACCACUGGAAACGGUGGCUAAUACCUCAUAUAACUGAGAAGUGAAAGAUGAAAAUCACCAAGAGAUGAGCUUGCGUCUGAUUAGCUAGUUGGUAAGGUAAAGGCUUACCAAGGCGACGAUCAGUAGCUGGUCUGAGAGGAUGAUCAGCCACACUGGGACUGAGACACGGCCCAGACUCCUACGGGAGGCAGCAGUGGGGAAUAUUGGACAAUGGGCGCAAGCCUGAUCCAGCCAUACCGCGUGUGUGAAGAAGGCCCUAGGGUUGUAAA
rnacentral:rRNA from 1 species